ensembl:snRNA
GUGUUGUAUGAAAGGAGAGAAGGUUAGCACUCCCCUUUACAAGGAUGGAAGAAGCUCUCAGGCCAGACAACACGCAUACAGUUAAGGCAUUGCCACUUACUUCAUGGCAUCUAACCACUGUUUUUA